GAGUUUGAUCAUGGCUCAGGAUGAACGCUAGCGGCAAGCCUAACACAUGCAAGUCGAACGGUAACUUUUGGUGCUUGCACCGAAAGACGAGUGGCGAACGGGUGCGUAACGCGUAUGCAAUCUGCCUUUUACUAGGGUAUAGCCCAGAGAAAUUUGGAUUAAUCCCCUAUAAUAUCAUUUAAUCGCAUGAUUUUAUGAUUAAAGCUUCGGCGGUAAAAGAUGAGCAUGCGUCCUAUUAGUUAGUAGGUGAGGUAACGGCUCACCUAGACUCCGAUAGGUAGGGGUCCUGAGAGGGAGAUCCCCCACACUGGUACUGAGACACGGACCAGACUCCUACGGGAGGCAGCAGUGAGGAAUAUUGGACAAUGGACGAAAGUCUGAUCCAGCUAUGCCGCGUGCAGGAUGACGGCCCUAUGGGUUGUAAACUGCUUUUAUACAGGAAGAAAAACUCCGACGUGUCGGAACUUGACGGUACUGUAAGAAUAAGGAUCGGCUAACUCCGUGCCAGCAGCCGCGGUAAUACGGAGGAUCCAAGCGUUAUCCGGAAUCAUUGGGUUUAAAGGGUCCGUAGGCGGUUUUUUAAGUCAGAGGUGAAAUCCUGCAGCUCAACUGUAGAAUUGCCUUUGAUACUGAAAGACUUGAGUUAUUGUGAAGUGGUUAGAAUGUGUGGUGUAGCGGUGAAAUGCAUAGAUAUCAUACAGAAUACCAAUUGCGAAGGCAGAUCACUAACAAUAUACUGACGCUCAGGGACGAAAGCGUGGGUAGCGAACAGGAUUAGAUACCCUGGUAGUCCACGCCGUAAACGAUGGAUACUAGCUGUAUGUCUACUUUCAGGU
rnacentral:rRNA from 1 species